CGAGCCUCACCAUGGCCACGGUCGCGCGAACGUGUCGCGCCGCCAUAAGCCUCGCCACCGCUCGCUUGCCCACCUUGUCGGCACCACCGCGGGCCUGGAACGCCGGUCCUCCCGCGCGCGUCUCGCCGCCCAGCCUCGUCACGUCCGUGACUAGUGCGACUGCCGCGCGGACAUGCCGCGAGCCUAUGCCCAGUCCUGCCCGAGCUCGCCCAACCCGGCCUCACGCACACCGCCCCGCCACCUUAACAUCGCCCGCUACACCCUCAGCCAUGCCUUGCACACACGCACACUUUGGCCACACCGGAUCCGGCCCAGCCACACCCGAUCCUGCUCCCGCUGACGGGCAGGUCCCGCUUGUCAAUGGUGAGAGAGAAAACCGCCCUGCGGGCCCAGCCUGUAAGGGAGAGAGUGAGAGGGAGAAGAUGGGCCAUGGCCCGAUCCAGCGAACUGAGCCGGCCAGACGAGCCGUGGACCAAGCCGGUCCGAGAAGCCGAGCCAAGCUUCUUGGGCCAACCCGAGCCGGCCUUUUCCUCUUUCAGCCCAGUAAACCAAGCCGCCACUCCCUUUUUCCUUUUUACCCAGCUGACAUGCGGGUCCCACGCGUCAGCCUCAGGGUGAGGCUGACAGGUGGGACCACUGACAUGUGGACCACGCUGACCUGGACGUUGACUGUUGACUGGUCAAUGUUGACCAGUCAACGCUGACGUCAGCUUUGACCCCGCUGACGUCAGCAUGAACCGACCCUGCGCUGACGUCAUGGUGAUGUCAGCAGGACACAUGGCAUUCUCCCGUCCUGCCACGUGUCGGCCCUGUGUGUUUUCUUUUUUCGAAAAUCAUUUGUUAAUUUCAGAAAUAGAUUUAGGCUUCAAAAAUUGAUAAUAAAUUAACCGGAGCUCCGAAAAUUAUGAAACCAGUUUCAUAAUUUUUCUAAAAUCAUGAUCUACCCGUUAGAGUAGGUUUUGGUGUGAUUUGGAUCUUAUUUGGAUACUUUUGUGUACUUUUGCACUUUGGCCCCCUUAGUAAUUCGUAUUUACGAAUAGGCCCUUAGCGAGGAGGAGCUGAUCGACGCCCCGGACGCCCAGAGGACCCAGGAGGACGUACCGGACUACGAGAAGACUCCGAAGACCUAGGACGACUACGAGAAGUCUCAGUUUGGUAGAUGCAGGAUCUGACUCGAAGAUCGACGAUGACUUUGAAGGAUGGACUAAGGACGACUCGUGCUCCGCUCAAGUUUGCCUGUGGAUGAAAGAAGAUGUCAAGAUGAAGGAUACCCCAGAAGUCUAGCUACCGCUUCCGUUUUCUGGUUGUUCCCUUUUAGCCCAAUGGGCUUGUACCAGAUGUUUUCGUACCACAAUCCACUGGUUUAUGUAAUAAUUAAACUUUUGUUGUGUUUUA